UACGUAGGGCGCAAGCGUUGUCCGGAAUUAUUGGGCGUAAAGAGCUCGUAGGCGGUUUGUCGCGUCUGCUGUGAAAACUCGAGGCUCAACCUCGGGCUUGCAGUGGGUACGGGCAGACUAGAGUGUGGUAGGGGAGACUGGAAUUCCUGGUGUAGCGGUGGAAUGCGCAGAUAUCAGGAGGAACACCGAUGGCGAAGGCAGGUCUCUGGGCCAUUACUGACACUGAGAAGCGAAAGCAUGGGGAGCGAACAGG
rnacentral:rRNA from 1 species